rnacentral:rRNA from 1 species
UGGGCAACCUGCCCUCAGCUCUGGGAUAACCCCGGGAAACCGGGGCUAAUACCGGAUACGACCUCCGCGGGCAUCUGCGGAGGUGGAAAGGUUUUCCGGCUGAGGAUGGGCCCGCGGCCUAUCAGCUAGUUGGUGGGGUGAUGGCCCACCAAGGCGACGACGGGUAGCCGGCCUGAGAGGGUGACCGGCCACACUGGGACUGAGACACGGCCCAGACUCCUACGGGAGGCA